CGGCGGACGGGUGAGUAACGCGUGGGUAACCUGCCUCAUACAGGGGGAGUAACAGUUAGAAAUGACUGCUAAUACCGCAUAAGACCACAGCACCGCAUGGUGCAGGGGUAAAAACGUACCGGUGGUAUGAGAUGGACCCGCGUCUGAUUAGUUAGUUGGUGGGGUAACGGCCUACCAAGGCGGCGAUCAGUAGCCGACCUGAGAGGGUGACCGGCCACAUUGGGACUGAGACACGGCCCAAACUCCUACGGGAGGCAGCAUG
rnacentral:rRNA from 1 species